UACGUAGGGUGCGAGCGUUGUCCGGAAUUAUUGGGCGUAAAGAGCUCGUAGGCGGUGUGUCGCGUCGGCCGUGAAAACCUGGGGCUCAACUCUGGGCGUGCGGUCGAUACGGGCAUCACUUGAGUUCGGCAGGGGAGACUGGAAUUCCUGGUGUAGCGGUGAAAUGCGUAGAUAUCGUAAGGAAGACCAGUGGCGAAGGCGGAUCUCUGGACAGCUACUGACACUGAGGCACGGAAGGCCAGGGGA
rnacentral:rRNA from 1 species